UAUCAACUGAACAAUACAAUCUCAAAGCUUAUCUUCCUCAAGCAACCCUUCUUUCACGACCAACUCAAUCAAAAUGACUCCCUGCUCCUGCAACACCUGCAGCUGCUCCAGCGACUGCAACGGCUGCAAGUGCACCUCUUGCGGUGUACGUAUCU
rnacentral:sRNA from 1 species